rnacentral:rRNA from 1 species
UACGUAGGGCGCAAGCGUUGUCCGGAAUUAUUGGGCGUAAAGAGCUCGUAGGCGGUUUGUCGCGUCGGCCGUGAAAACCUGCAGCUUAACUGUGGGCGUGCGGUCGAUACGGGCAUCACUGGAGUUCGGCAGGGGAGACUGGAAUUCCUGGUGUAGCGGUGAAAUGCGCAGAUAUCAGGAGGAACACCGGUGGCGAAGGCGGGUCUCUGGGCCGAUACUGACGCUGAGGAGCGAAAGCGUGGGGAGCGAACAGG